rnacentral:rRNA from 1 species
GAGACAUCUGAAGGAGAUUAAAGAUUUAUCGGUGAUGGAUGGGGAUGCGUCUGAUUAGCUUGUUGGCGGGGUAACGGCCCACCAAGGCGACGAUCAGUAGGGGUUCUGAGAGGAAGGUCCCCCACAUUGGAACUGAGACACGGUCCAAACUCCUACGGGAGGCAGCAGUGAGGAAUAUUGGUCAAUGGGCGAGAGCCUGAACCAGCCAAGUAGCGUGCAGGAUGACGGCCCUAUGGGUUGUAAACUGCUUUUAUAAGGGAAUAAAGUGAGUCUCGUGAGACUUUUUGCAUGUACCUUAUGAAUAAGGACCGGCUAAUUCCGUGCCAGCAGCCGCGGUAAUACGGAAGGUCCGGGCGUUAUCCGGAUUUAUUGGGUUUAAAGGGAGCGUAGGCCGGAGAUUAAGCGUGUUGUGAAAUGUAGACGCUCAACGUCUGCACUGCAGCGCGAACUGGUUUCCUUGAGUACGCACAAAGUGGGCGGAAUUCGUGGUGUAGCGGUGAAAUGCUUAGAUAUCACGAAGAACUCCGAUUGCGAAGGCAGCUCACUGGAGCGCAACUGACGCUGAAGCUCGAAAGUGCGGGUAUCGAACAGGAUUAGAUACCCUGGUAGUCCGCACGGUAAACGAUGGAUGCCCGCUGUUGGUCUGAAUAGGUCAGCGGCCAAGCGAAAGCAUUAAGCAUCCCACCUGGGGAGUAC